AUCUUGCGCUUGUAGGGUUUAGGGUUCUUGCUUGAGCGCCAAGUCGAUGCGCUUGCGCAGGCUCAAGAUCUUCCAGAUUCUCUUCCCCAUUGGUGAUGACGCCCAGGAAUCGCUGGAAAGAUUCAUUACGAUCGGUGCGCUGCGCGCCUGUGCUAGCUCCAGGGAUCUCGACGCCGCCAAGCACAUCCAUUGGCAGCAGAUCGACCGCUUGAUGGACGAUCUCCACGCCUCCAACACGCUUGUCAGCGUGUAUGCAAAAUGCAAGAGCAUGGCGGACGCGCGAUCGGUGUUUGACGCCAUGGCGAAUCGAAACGCCGUGUCGUGGAACUCCCUCAUCGCCGGCUAUGUCGACAACGGCAUGGAGCAUCUAGCGCUGGAAUCGUUCUCAUGGAUGCGAUCGUCAGGGUUUGAGCCCGACGGCCGGUCGCUCCUCGCGGCGAUCAAGGCGUGCUCGAGCUUGGCAGCGGCGGUGGAAGAAGAUGACGGCCGCAAGGAGGUCUGCCCAGAGAUUAUGAAUUUUGCCAGCGCUGUGCAUUCUCAAGCUCGAGCUCGCAGGUUUGAUUCCGAGGACGUCUUCGUGGCGAGCGCCCUGGUGGAUUUCUACGCGAAAUGCGGAAGAAUGGCGCAAGCAAGGCAAGUGUUUGACAAGAUCACCCAUCCCAACGUCGUUUCCUGGACCACUCUCAUCAAUGGUUACGCUGACAGUGGCGAUGGCGAGCUAGCUCUCGAAGCUUUUGGGCGGAUGCUUCUCUCGGGCUGUCAAGCUGAUAGCCGAGCUUUCGUCGCGGUGCUGAUGGCCUGCUCGAUCUUAGCCACGAAAGGAAGAGCUCCUGCCAAGCAAAAUGGUGGCAAGAACAUCAAGGAGAAGUGUCUCCAAAGAGGUGUGGCAAUCCAUUCUCUGGUGGAAGAGCGUCACUGUGGCUCGGAUCCUUUCGUCGCCAGCACUCUGGUGGAUAUGUACACGAACUGCGGCAGCUUGGACGACGCUAGAAACGUUUUCGACAAGAUGCCAUCGCACGGGGUGGUCUCCUGGACUGCUCUGGUGAUGGGAUACGCAGAGAAUGGCAGUGGAGAGAUAGCUCUGGAGCUCUUCUCGCGCAUGAUCUUCGAAGGCUGCGAUCCAAAUCCGCGGACUUACGUUGCGGCAUUGGUGGCUUGCGGCAGCCUGGCAGCGCUGCAAACUGGGAAGCAGCUCGUCCACGCUCUGGUUUGCAAGGCUGGAGUCGAGAGUGAAGUCUACGUUGCGAAUUCGCUCGUCAACUUCUAUGGCACUUGCGGCAGCAUGGGUGAUGCCGAGCAGGUCUUCGACUCCGUGAAGAACAAGACGGUUUUUACGUGGAGUGCUAUGAUCGAAGGUUACAGUCACCAGGGGGACGCAAGGCACGUCUUUGCGACGUUCUGGAAGAUGAAAGACGAAGGUAUGGAGCCGAAUGGAGUUACAUUCGUAUCGCUUCUCACCGCCUGCAGCCACGCCGGUCUUGUGGAACAGGGCAGGGAAUUCUUCCAGGCAAUGCGGCUUCGCCACAGGAUUGAGCCGGGCCUGGAGCACUACCACUGCAUGGUGGACAGUCUGGGACGUGCCAACCUUUUCGAGGAAGCUGUAGCGAUGGUGGAAAGAAUGCCGUUUGAAGCGAAUGAAAUCACCUGGACGAUCAUGCUGGCCGCUUGCCGGAAGUGGAAGAAAGUGGAACUUGGGGAGCAGGCAUUCGAGAAGCUGGUGGAAAUGGGCGAGAAACAGGAGACGGCGUAUUUGUUGAUGGCAGAUCUCUAUGGUUCUGUCGGCAUGAGAGAGCAACAGUCCAAGUUGCUGGGGAUCUUGACAAGGAGUUCCAAACAAGACGGAAUAGAACAAGGAUGCUCGAGCUCCGAGUGCAACCGCUGAAGCGCUAGGGCUAUUGUGGUCGCGGUGCUCAUCACUGAGGAAUGCGGAUCACCGUGUUUAAGGCGGAGAACACGACACAUAAGGGCCUUGUAGCUGCCGUCGGGU